rnacentral:rRNA from 1 species
CAGUAGCCGCGGUAAUACGAAGGGUGCAAGCGUUACUCGGAAUUACUGGGCGUAAAGCGUGCGUAGGUGGUGGUUUAAGUCCGUUGUGAAAGCCCUGGGCUCAACCUGGGAAUUGCAGUGGAUACUGGGUCACUAGAGUGUGGUAGAGGAUAGUGGAAUUUCCGGUGUAGCAGUGAAAUGCGUAGAGAUCGGAAGGAACAUCUGUGGCGAAGGCGACUAUCCAGGCCAACACUGACACUGAGGCACGAAAGCGUGGGGAGCAAACAGGAUUAGAUACCCCCGUAGUCCCUGUCUCUUAUAC